UAAGACGAACCACACAAACGUUAUUCGGAAUUACUGGGCUUAAAGGGUGCGUAGGCGGCGCGGAAAGUAGGGUGUGAAAUCCCUCAGCUUAACUGAGGAACUGCGCUCUAAACUACCGUGCUUGAGGGAGAUAGAGGAGAGCGGAACUUAGGGUGGAGCGGUGAAAUGCGUUGAUAUCCUAAGGAACACCGGUGGCGAAAGCGGCUCUCUGGAUCUCUUCUGACGCUGAGGCACGAAAGCUAGGGGAGCGAACGGGAUUAGAUACCCCGGUAGUCCUAGCCGUAAACGAUGAGCACUGGAUCGAAGGGUCCUCCAUAGCCUUUUGGUCGCAGCGAAAGUGUUAAGUGCUCCGCCUGGGGAGUAUGGUCGCAAGGCUG
rnacentral:rRNA from 1 species